rnacentral:rRNA from 1 species
AACAAACGCUGGCGGCGUGCCUAAUACAUGCAAGUCGAACGGGGAAAGCUUUCGGGUGAGUACCAGUGGCGCACGGGUGAGUAACGCGUGGAUAAUCUGCCUUAGAGUGGGGGAUAACUAGUCGAAAGAUUAGCUAAUACCGCAUAAGACCACAAGAACUGCGGUUCAAGGGGUCAAAGGUUUUUCGCUCUAAGAUGAGUCCGCGUAAGAUUAGCUAGUUGGUAGGGUAACGGCCUACCAAGGCGACGAUCUUUAACUGGUCUGAGAGGAUGAGCAGUCCCACUGGAACUGAGACACGGUCCAGACUCCUACGGGAGGCAGCAGUAGGGAAUAGUGCACAAUGGAGGAAACUCUGAUGCAGCGACGCCGCGUGAGUGAUGAAGGCCUUCGGGUCGUAAAGCUCUGUCGCAGGGGAAUAACACAAUGAAGGUACCCUGUAAGAAAGGAUCGGCUAACUUCGUGCCAGCAGCCGCGGUAACAC